UUGAACUUGAUCCAAAAAUAAUUAUUCAAUCAAAUUGAGUUAAUUAGUGAUCAAAUCACUAAUUAAACCUCUCAUAAAUACUGAGUCCAAAUUCGAUGGGCAAUCAGGCAUCAGAAUUCAUCGAUAUGUAACCCUGAUCGAAAAGUCCCAACCAGUGGGACUCUUGACCCCGGUACCCAUAAUGUGUGAAACUCAUGAUCAGAGAAUCCUGAUUCUCGAUCACUGAGUUUCAAACAUAUAGGAUUCUACACCAGCCAUCAGAUCAGAUAAGAACCUCUAAUGUGUGUGGCUCUGCAGGUUCGAACCUAAGUCGGUAGCACAGGAAUCAAUUUUUGUACUAAUUGAAGUGACCACUAGCAAUGGUACCCGACGUCUGGAUAGGUCGAAGAGUCACAAUUGCAACACUCAGAACCUACAUGAAUAUGGUUACUGUAUAAUUCAUCCUUUUGACCCCUGUGUUUAGGAUGACUCAGGGUUAAACUGUCAACCCUGAUCAGAUCAUCCGAAUCGUGCUCAACUCAAACAGUCCUGUGACUCCUCAUAAGGACUAUCCUGGCCAAGGUUUUACUAAAUU
rnacentral:lncRNA from 1 species